CCUACGGGAGGCAGCAGUGGGGAAUAUUGGACAAUGGGCGCAAGCCUGAUCCAGCCAUGCCGCGUGUGUGAAGAAGGCCUUCGGGUUGUAAAGCACUUUUGUCCGGAAAGAAAAGCCUAGGGUUAAUACCUUUGGGUUAUGACGGUACCGGAAGAAUAAGCACCGGCUAACUUCGUGCCAGCAGCCGCGGUAAUACGAAGGGUGCAAGCGUUACUCGGAAUUACUGGGCGUAAAGCGUGCGUAGGUGGUUCGUUAAGUCUGAUGUGAAAGCCCUGGGCUCAACCUGGGAAUGGCAUUGGAUACUGGCGACCUAGAGUGCGGUAGAGGGUAGCGGGAUUCCCGGUGUAGCAGUGAAAUGCGUAGAUAUCGGGAGGAACAUCCGUGGCGAAGGCGGCUACCUGGACCAGCACUGACACUGAGGCACGAAAGCGUGGGGAGCAAACAGGAUUAGAUACCCUGGUAGUCCACGCCCUAAACGAUGCGAACUGGAUGUUGGGUGCAACUUGGCACUCAGUAUCGAAGCUAACGCGUUAAGUUUGCCGCCUGGGAAGUACGGUCGCAAGACUGAAACUCAAAGGAAUUGACGG
rnacentral:rRNA from 1 species